rnacentral:lncRNA from 10 species
UUAGAUUUGGUGGUUUCCAGCCCUGGCUCGGCAUUAGAACCACCCUUCUCAGGAAUAGACAUACUUGGAACUCCACCCCUGGGAAAAUUCUGAGCCUGUGGAUCUGGGGUGGGGCCAGGAUCUGCCUGUUAAAAAGGGUCCUCUGGUUAUUCUGAUGUUGGAGGGUCUCAGUGUUUGUGAAAUCAAACAAAUGAUUGAAUGUAAGGUAGAACGUAAGUCCUUGAUUUCUCUGGUCUCUAGGGUUCAGUGAGGGGACAUAAAAGGCUCCUUGGUAAAGUGGUCUCUUCUAGGAGGGUUGCUUGGGGGGUCCAAGAACUCAAAGCAUUUUCUCUUCUUAUCUCAUCUCUGCAGGUCCAGCCUUGCCCAUCAAAGCAGAUGGAAUGGAGAGGAAGUUCACCCUGGCUUCCUUUGCACUACCCCUGUGACCUAAGUAUGUCUCCAUUGUUGUGUAUCCUCUCCUGAGCUGGCCUGCUCUAGAUCCAGCACUUGACCUUCCUGAAGCAGGGAACAGCCUGUGUCUCCAGGCAGACCCUGUGGCCAGGCUCUGUGUUGCAUCCUCAUUACCGUCAUCUCUGCAGGCUGCGGGACCUCAUCGCUCUGCCUGAAUAUUCCUUUCCCUCUCUGCUGCAAUUCUGCACUGCCACCGUGAUCCUCCAGGUCCUUGCCUUGCUUCUCCAGAGAUGACGGCCUGGCUGGGCCGCACCCUGCAGGCGCUCUUCCCCAGCGCAGAUGCCCUGCUGUGUCCUGACAGUCCCGCGUUACCCUCGAUCUGAAGGUGUGGAUAAUUAAGAAAGCCAGCUUCGAAGAUGUUGGCGUUACAAGAUGGAAGGUGUUGAGGUCCCUGAGUCAUGUCUUGGAGAAGAGCUGCCCAGCAGAGCUGUCCAUUUGCAUACAACUGUGGUGUGAGCAGAAAAUAAAACUUAAUGCCACUCUGGUUUGGUGUUGUUUGUUGCAGCAGUUAAUGUUCAUUAUCUAUCUUGAUGCAUUUGUAUUACAUGGC